CUGCAUCCCCAAGUCAGGUGUGAACACCCUCUGAGUUUAAGCAUAUCAAUAAGCGGAGGA
rnacentral:rRNA from 1 species